CCCCCCCUGCUAUAAAUCCAUUCCCCUUUGUCUCCUCCUCUGCACUAUAUCUUUUGCAGCACAAUUCAGGGCCGGAAUCCCGGUUGCCAAAACUGCCUCAUCUGGCCCUGUGAGCUCUAGGCUGGCCGCGAAUGGGGAGGCACUCUUGCUGCUACAAGCAGAAGCUGAGGAAAGGGUUGUGGUCUCCGGAGGAGGACGAGAAGCUUGUGAAGCACAUCGCCAAGUAUGGCCAUGGCUGUUGGAGCUCUGUCCCCAAGCUAGCAGACCUGCAGAGGUGCGGAAAGAGCUGCAGAUUGAGGUGGAUCAACUACCUGAGGCCUGAUCUGAAGAGGGGCACCUUCUCGCAGCAAGAGGAGAAACUCAUCAUCGAGCUCCAUGCAGCCGUCGGCAACAGGUGGUCUCAGAUUGCGGCCCAGUUGCCGGGAAGAACCGAUAACGAGAUCAAGAACUACUGGAACUCAUGCAUCAAGAAGAAGUUGAGGCAGAGCGGCAUCGAUCCGAGCACCCACAGACCACUCAGCGAGGUCGAGGGAGGAGACGACAAAGAAGCCAUGGCCGGCGGCAGAAGCUCCACCUCCGCACCACCACCAUCCCAUACCAUCGAAUGCACUCCUCUUCUACAAGCAAAUGAUGUUGUUGUUCCGUCAUCGAUCUCAAUCUCCGUGCCAGACCUCCGGUGUUUGGAGGCCGGCAGUUGCAGCAACACCAGCGCAAACAGUGCCAACAGCAGCAGUGAGUUCGAGCUGCAAAACAGCAGCAGCCUCUUCGACGGCAGCAUCUUCCAGUGGUUGGAGUUGUUUCCAAGCAAAGGCGCCCAGCACCAUUUCGACGGCGAGCCGGAGGAUCUGAAGUGGUCCGAGUACCUCAACGGCACGAUCGGCUCCGAUGAUGGAUUGCUCGGAGAGAUCAAAAAGGAGUAGAAGAAGAUUCUUGUGACAUGACCCAACCAAAUGAAGGAAGCAGUUCAUUUAACCACAGUAUCAGACUUCAGAUUGUUUGCAGUUUCUAGGCUUUGAUAGAAGAAAUGAUGCAGAAUCCAGGAAAGGAAAAUGUUGACUUUUUUUGGCAGCCAACUACUGGUUAAGAUGUCUAGAAAAGUCAGAACUUGCAAAUGAAGGAAAAAAAGUAAGAG